rnacentral:rRNA from 1 species
UACGUAGGGGGCAAGCGUUGUCCGGAUUUAUUGGGCGUAAAGAGCGUGUAGGCGGCUUUACAGGUCCGUUGUGAAAACUCGAGGCUCAACCUCGAGACGCCGAUGGAAACCAUGUGGCUAGAGUCCGGAAGAGGAGAGUGGAAUUCCUGGUGUAGCGGUGAAAUGCGCAGAUAUCAGGAAGAACACCCGUGGCUAAGGCGGCUCUCUAGUACGGUACUGACGCUGAGACGCGAAAGCGUGGGGAGCGAACAGG